UCUGUGAGGUCAAUUUAUAAGCAUAGAGGCAUUUACCCACACAGGAUGGAGAUGAAGGGAACAUGGAUAUUUUGCUUGAGUCCAUGGCGUCAGUCAGCUGAUAAAGGCAUUUCUACAGGAGACAGAAUGUCAUUGUCAAAUUCUAAAUCUCGGGACUGAGAUGGAGACCACCUUCUGGAGAUUAAAGGCACAUUUUCUGGUCCUGCACCUUAGAGUUUCUGAUUUUGCCAUCAUAGUGUACGGAGCUCACGACCAAGA